GUCAUUAUCUUCUCUCCUUCCAAUUUUUAUUUGCUUGGUUAGGCUUGGAUGUGGGGGUUGUGGGCUUCCUCCUGAGGUCGGCUCUCUUUAAAUGCAUUACCGGGCUUUUGUGUCCCGUUUAUUGGUCUGAUAAUUAUUUUCACCGUCGAUGUGAAGCAGCUUUAUGAAGUUCUGUUUCUUUCCUUCCAUUGACUGGCACAUUUUUGACAAUUUGACCUCAAAUCAGGUAGGACUACCCGCUGAACUUAAGCAUAUCAAUAAGCGGAGGAAAAGAAACUAACAAGGAUUCCCCUAGUAACUGCGAGUGAAGCGGGAAAAGCUCAAAUUUAAAAUCU
rnacentral:rRNA from 1 species